CGUAGAAUCGUCUGCGAACCGACACUUCCUUUUACUCAAAAUUAUAUAUGGAGGAGCAGGAGGGUCCAUCAGUCAAAGAAUUAUCUGCUUCACUAUAUUUAUAUAUUUAUUUUUAGAUUCUAAUUUCACGUUUUUAUUUAUUUAUAUAGAGCGUUUGAAUUGACGUCAUAAAUUACAUCAUAAUUGAAGAAGACGUCAUCGUGGGUGCUCAUACAACCUCUCAUAAAAUGGACAAAUUUUUAAUAAAUUAAACUCAAUCAAAUGGAUUUAUUAAUAAAGAAGACUUCAUAUCUUCAUUGAAUACUACAUGAUGCAAAUGAUAAUCACUGAUAUUUCAAUUAAAUUAAAGGACAAGAAAAAUAGAAUAAUUUGAAACAAA
rnacentral:lncRNA from 1 species